GCCGGGUGUGGUGGCUCACACCUGUAAUCCCAGCCCUUUGAGAGGCCGAGGUGGGAAGAUCACCUGAGGUCAGGAGUUCAAGACCAGCCUGACCAACAUGGUGAAAUCCCAUCUCUU
ensembl:misc_RNA Metazoa_SRP Metazoan signal recognition particle RNA